AUUUUCUUUAAUCUAGCAAUGAUUCUUCAUGACAUAUUUGUUCUUAAUGGAAAAGCGUCUUAAAGACAAACAUGGAUUGAGGAAGACAAAAAGCUACAGGAGGUGCUCUGUAACCUAUUGGUUCCAGGAACGUUCUCUCUGAACUCUUUCUGUGACCCCAAUUUCAUCCUAUGUCCAUGGUCUCUUUGGAUGCCCCAGUCACCCGUAAUUGGUUUUGACGGGUCUAUGUUUUGCAGUGUGUGUGAACACGCUGUAUUUGGUGUACCAUGUCCAUGAGGUUCAUGGGAAGAAGCUAGCAAAGCCCUGCCCAAAUCUAAACUUCCCCCUCCUCUUGUCUCCUCCUCUCCAAUCCAGAUCCAUUGGCUGGGAUCUCUGUGGUGGAAUGCUGCUGGGACCCCCUUCUAACCUCCCCCCAACCCUCCCCUUGAGUUCACCCAUCCACCCAUUAGGAAUUCCAGCAGGGCAUUGUGGGUGGGAUGAAUGGGGUCAGAGCCAAGGAAACAAACUGUAAUUGUUUUGGCAGCUGUGUUCUGUGAUUACAGGAGCAGAGGCUACGGUGAAUCCAAAGUGUCAUGCUGGGAGAUCAGGCAGGCCGCGGCUAAUGAGAAACACUGGUCACGUGAUCCGCAGGGGUGGCCCGUGCUGCGCCGGAGACACCCAGACAGGUGUUGGCAGUCACGUUGCUAUGUGCCGCCCACCCCCCUCUACAUUGGCACAGAAAUGACCAGAAGGCUGUUCUGUGCCGCUGCUGUCCUCCUCCCGCUCUAGAGGAGCAUCACGCGCUCGUGACGGCAGCAUCUUUUGCGUCGUGUUCCUCUCCACAGCAUCACCCUUACAAAAGACUCAAGGCUAUAUGAUUGUCGUAUUCUUUCUCUGUGUUGAUUCAUGCUGAGCUUCUGAGCGUGUGGACGCGCUUUCUCACACGUAUUAACGUACACUGCAGUGCCUUGAAUAUGUGGAGAGCAGUGGGGAGUGGUUAUUCACGUCAGGGAGCUGCGUUCCAGUGCUUACGUUCAUGUACCUUGCCAGAGCCUGAGUUCACACACGCAACGCUUAAGCACGACUUGAAUUCGUCAGUGAUCCUCCAUGACAGGGUUUUGUCUUCCUCUGUCUCCUCUCCAAAAAGCAGACAAUCUUGAGGGUUUGCUGCCACGAGCUCUUCAUUAGUUGCACUUGCAGUAGCUAUUUCCUAUUCUGUUGAACAGGUUUUAAAAAGGGCAUAAAAAGUCUUAAUUAACCCUUCCACAAAUGAAUGCCUUUAAAUCUUAAAUCGGACUUAAAUUCAUAAAGUCAUGGUAUUGUUGCAUACACUGUAAAAAAAAAAAAAAAAGAAAAAAAGGAAUCUUCCUCUGUAGGCCUAUUUAGGGCUCAAGCCUGGAGGG
ensembl:lncRNA